UAUGGAACCAAAGCCCUGAGUCUACCCUGU
rnacentral:piRNA from 1 species